rnacentral:lncRNA from 1 species
UACCAAGGAGUUACCACACAGCCGUGGCACAGACAUAGGCCUCAGGUCUCGGGCCUCAGAGCUAGACCCCGCCAUCUCACAAUGUCUGAGGGGACCGAGGAACAGGAUUUUUUUAUUGUAACUGUUGACGACAGUGAUGAUAACAAUGAUUACAGUAUUGAGAUAGUGGAAGAUUCUGAAACAGCAGAUAAUUCCACUGAUGACAUAGCAAAUAAUUCCACUUAUGACACAGCAGAUAAUCCCACUGAUGACACAGCAACAGAACCAAAUUUUCCAGGCGGCAGUGAUGACCAUCACCGUCCACUCCAAAUGUCAUAUGUAGCCCAUGGUGACCAAACCAUUUCACAGAUCAAAUGCCCAGUACAUUUAAGAAGAUACAGUUACAACUCAGAGGAAGUGGAUUUGCCAAAAAGAGGAAGAUUAUCUACUCCAGAGGUAGAUAUUAUGGUUUGUUUAUUAAAGUGAAAAUCUCUCUUUGUUCUUU